GACGAACGCUGGCGGCGUGCUUAACACAUGCAAGUCGAACGGAAAGGCCCUGCUUUUGUGGGGUGCUCGAGUGGCGAACGGGUGAGUAACACGUGAGUAACCUGCCCUUGACUUUGGGAUAACUUCAGGAAACUGGGGCUAAUACCGGAUAGGAGCUCCUGCUGCAUGGUGGGGGUUGGAAAGUUUCGGCGGUUGGGGAUGGACUCGCGGCUUAUCAGCUUGUUGGUGGGGUAGUGGCUUACCAAGGCUUUGACGGGUAGCCGGCCUGAGAGGGUGACCGGCCAUAUUGGGACUGGGAUACGCCCAGACUCCUACGGGAGGCAGCAGUGGGGAAUAUUGCACAAUGGGCGGAAGCCUGAUGCAGCAACGCCGCGUGCGGGAUGACGGCCUUCGGGUUGUAAACCGCUUUCGCCUGUGACGAAGCGUGAGUGACGGUAAUGGGUAAAGAAGCACCGGCUAACUACGUG
rnacentral:rRNA from 1 species